AGUGAACGCUGGCGGUAGGCCUAACACAUGCAAGUCGAACGGCAGCACAGUAAGACCUUGCUUUUAUGGGUGGCGAGUGGCGGACGGGUGAGGAAUACAUCGGACUCUACUUUUUAGUGGGGGAUUACGUCGGGAAAAUUACGCUAAUACCGCAUACGUCCUACGGGUGGAAGCAGGGGAGCUUCGGACCUUGCGCGAUUGAUUGAGCCGAUGCCGGAUUAGCUGGUUGGCGGGGUAAAGGCCCACCAAGGCGACGAUCCGUAGCUGGUCUGAGAGGAUGAUCACCCACACUGGAACUGAGACACGGUCCAGACUCCUACGGGAGGCAGCAGUGGGGAAUAUUGGACAAUGGGCGCAAGCCUGAUCCAGCCAUACCGCGUGGGUGAAGAAGGCCUUCGGGUUGUAAAGCCCUUUUGUUGGGAAAGAAAAGCAGCAGGUUAAUACCCCGCUGUUCUGACGGUACCCAAAGAAUAAGCACCGGCUAACUUCGUG
rnacentral:rRNA from 1 species